UUUUGGCUCAUUUUUACUUCAUUUCUUCCAUGGGAGCCAAUUUUUAGAGCAACUUUGGAGUGCCAUUUUCAUCACCAAGCAUGAGGUAAGUGAUUACUACUUGAUUUUAGGUAUAUACAAGGUUUAUAUGUGGAAUUAGACAUGAAAAUUGAUAGAAAACUUGGGGUUUGAGGGAAAACCUAGAAAAUUUGUAUUCUUGUUUUUUUUUUUACUAUAAUUUUGGGUAUGGAAUUAAGAGAAAAUCACAUAUUUGAGUUCAUGAGUUCAUAGGUAAACUUUAUCUUUGAAAAAUUUUGGAUUCCGGGCACAUGGGCCCGAGGUCGUUUUUAUCAACUUUUCAAUUGGGGUUAGGAAUUGUUAUAAAUUGGAUUAUAAUAAGUACCUUAGCAUAUAUUAAUGAGUUUUCAUAAUUAUGGCUAGUUUUAGAGCGUUGUGCAUUGAUUCGAGUCUUCGUAAGGGCAUGGAAUACCGGGUAUGGAUCUUCGGAGCGAGGUGAGUCUCCUUUCUAACCUUGUAAGAGGGAAUUAUCCCCAUAGG
rnacentral:lncRNA from 1 species